UUCUGCGAUAUUGUGGCAAUAUCCUGUAACAAUAUUCAAAGCCAGCUAACAGUAGAUCAUCUUAUAACUUUGGUCAACUAUAACAUGAUUGAUAAUUAAGUUAUGUUGAGUAUAAGAUUGUUAUGCAAUACAUUUUUGGAAGACCAAUUGCAUAUUCAAGAAUACCAGUUUGGCCUUGUACACAUUUAAUGUAUUUCAUUUAACAACCACUUAGUCAUUUAUUUUGUGAAUUCACAAAUAAAAUAUAUCUUUUGAGCACAAAACGUCGUGGAUGAUUAAUAGUUCGUUCUUCCCCUUAAUUCUUCCAUGGUAGAUACUAGAUAUGUAUUCCAGUAUUUUAUAUAGGCACAUUGUUACUUCACUGAUUAUUCUCUUGCUAAUCUAUCUAUUAUCUAUUAUAUAUAUAAUGCUGCAACAUGAGUUUUCGUGAGCCAAUUAAAUCAUGUGAAAUUACGAUCUUACUCCUUAUUUAUUUAUCUUAUUUACCUAAAUCGCUUGACCCCUGCAACCCUUCCUCUUCUCGUACCAUUCACUCUGCACAAUAUAGUUCGUGAACCAUUUCUGAAUGGCGAUCAACCACUAUUGUGCUUUGCGGACUCAAAAAUUAAAUCCUUCUCGCUAGCGAUCGGCGUGGUGAAAGAUAUUUAAUUUUCAUUUUUAGGAAGCAAGACUGUAUAUGAAUUGUGAAAUUUUAUACUGGCUUGAUUGUGAAAUAUUAUCUGAGUUCUUGGUCUUGAGAUGCCUGCUUGUAUUUUUCAACACCUUUUCUUUCUUGGGGUUGUAAAUUUGUCAUCUUGUUUUGCUUUUAUUUUACUAGAUAUCACUAUGAUGCUUUGUGUUUCGGAUUAUUGAUGAUUAUGUUACGAUGUGAGCCAGAGUACUCUUCAUUUUCUCAUUGUUAUGCUCACUCUGUAUCCUUUUUUCAUGCUUCUAUACGUUUAUCCUUUACCUAUAUGUUUAUUCUAUUGGCUUUAUUUUGAUUUAAAGCUUUGUAUGCUAUAAGACGUAUGCCAAUUACUUUAUUUUUCUCUAAAAAGUUGUUUAUAUAUUGACACUGUAGCUGGUUCCAUUAAAAAUGUCCUUCAAUAGCUUGAAAUGUCAGUAUGCUAUGACUCAAUUAGUCGUCUGCUAUUUAUAAUUGCUACACCUCUUCCAUGUCUCUAACGCCAAUAAACCUAUAUCUCGACUCUCCGGAUAACAGAUCAGCAUAUCCCCGCCAGUGCUUCAGAGUUCAGAUGCUCUAUGCCAGUCAAGGGGAUUAUUUAUUUUUAUUUUUUAAUGAUUUGGAAUCGACACUAUUUGGUACCUUCUGUAAAACUCUCUACUUACACGAUUAUUAUGUGAUUUGCUGUUUGGUGCCUUUUUUUAUCAAUAGAUAUUGGUAAAUUUAUGAGAAAAAGUAUUGUAACUUGUGUGAAUAAAAUUUUCGUGCACCAUAGUUAUUAAUGUGUUAUGUUAUUAGCGAUAAUUUGUAAUAGAUUGCUAAAUUACAGGGAGUCAUUCCUGGAGAGCUUUCAAAAUUAAGAAACCUUCAAACACUUAUACUUGUUAAAAAAAUGUUUCACAGUAGGCUUCCAAAUGAGCUCGGCUUGUUUUCCCUUUUGGCUGUUUUAAGUGUUAGGAAAAACAGGCUAUAUGCAACUCCUCCAGAAUUUUUAGGUCAUUUAGAAAACCUUAGAGUUCUUUUUUUUUUUUUUGUCAUAAAAAUAUCUUAGAGUUCUUGAUUUGUCUAAUAACAAGUUAAUUGGUGAAGUGCCUGAUAUAAGCCUCUUGAGGCACUUGCAGUUCCUGGAUUUGGAAGAUAAUCUUCUUAGACCUCAGUUUGUGAAAAUUAGAAGCAAGAACUUAGUUACUCUUAUACCAGGGAAGAAGAAGUUUGACUCUGGCAUUCUAGAAAGGGUGCACUCUUUUAAUCAUCUCCAGCUGCUUUAUAUAGCGUUCAACAGCUUUGUUGGACCAUUUACGUCUUCUUUGCUCUCUCUGCCAUCGAUUAAUUAUCUCAAUAUUAAAGGAAACAAGUUCACUGGAAUGCUUUCAGAAAACAUGUCUUGCAGUCAACCUGAACUGGUGGAUUUAACUGGAAAUUUUUUGAACGGAAGAUUGCCUAGCUGCCUUCGUUAUGACCCCCGAGUCAGGGUUUUGUGUCUCAAUAUUAAAGGAACAAGUUCACUGGAAUGCUUUCAGAAAACAUAUCUUGCAGUCCCCAACUUGAAAUGGUGGAUUUAACUGGAAAUUUUUUGAACGGUAGAUUGCCUAGCUGCCUUCGUUAUGACCCCCGAGUCAGGGUUUUGUCUUAUGCUAUAAAUUGUUUAGUUGGUGAGGAUAAAUGCCAGCAUCCAGUGUCCUUUUGUCGAAAUGAAACUCUGGCUGUAGGAAUAAUACCACAUCGUAACAAGUCAAAACAAGCAUCCAUUCAUGUACUUGCCAUAAGCAUAUCUGCAGGGAUUGUUGAAUUAGUUGUAUUGGUUGCUAUAAUCUUGUUGACCAAUGAGAAGAGUACAUACAUAAAGGAUGGUAAAAUCACCUCCGACAAGAUUACCACAAGAGAAUGCAUCAACAGGCUACCCUUAAAAAUGCUUCAAGAUGCAAAACUCCUUGUCAGUUACAGAGACAUAACUUCGAAGGGGAAAAUUAAUGUUACCUGUCAUUUCUACAAGGGGCAUAACUCAAGCAAUGAAGCUAGGAGCACUUAGUGCUCCAGCUUAUCGAGCCUUUUCACUGAAAUACAUUGAGGAUGCAACUAAUAAUUUUGAUACAUCAACUUUUGUCCAUGAAGGAUCUUACAGUCAGGUGCGUGUGAUUGCAAAUGUCAUAUAGAAGCAUUAUAGGGUUUUUUAAGUAUAAAAUGGACUUGCAAAAACUAUUAUCUUUACGAUGAUUUUUCUAUAAAGCCUAUGCAAAGUGAUAAUGUAAUAGUGCAUUUACACUAUCCUUGUUCUAUGAAGUAUGAAUAAUUUAUGAUUGCAGAUGUAUAUAUGGAAGCUGAAGGAUGGUUCCUUGAUUGUCAUUAGGUGCCUUAAAAUAAAUAAAAAAACAAGAAUCAUAGCUUUAUGAACACUAUCGCAAUUAUAUCAAAACUAAGACAUCAACAUUUGGUCAGUGCUCUUGGGCACUGCUUUGAUUAUUGAUUAGAUGACUCCAGUCUCAGCAGAAAUUUUUUUGUAUUUGAAUAUGUGCAAAAUGGGACGCUAAGGGACUAGAUAUCUGGUACGUACUUGUGCUAUACAUUAUAGAGUUAUGAAAAAUUUAAAACAGCAUAUACCAUAAAAUAGUAAUUUUUUUAUAAAAUUAAAAAAAAAAAAAUAAAUUUUACGAGUUGUCCGCGUGCACACUUAAUAAAAAAAUUAAAUAAAUUUCCCCCUUAAUCAAUUUCACAACUCCCGCUUUGUAACAUUUUCUUAAAAUAAAACAUUAAGUUUAACAAGUUUAAAACAUAAACAUUAGACAAAAAACAUCAAAACAUAUAAGCUGCCGUCUUGUUUGAGAACCCUAGCCCCUUUCUUUCUCAUUCUUCGAUUUGUUCAUACAAGCUCUGAUGCGAUCAUUCUGGUUGAGUAAAAGCUCAUACAAGCUCCUAUGGUCAAUUAGAAGGUCAUACAAGCUCCGAUUUGUUUCCUUUAGAGUUUCGAUUGUUCGAUUUGCUGGUACAAACUCAUAAAACCUCCAGUUUUCUCAGGUGGGUCUAUUUUUUCGAUGGGGUCAUGUGGGUGUAAGAGGGUCAAGUGGGUUUUGACCGGACUUUAAAACUUGAAGUUCAAGUGGGUUUCAAUUGGAGUUUGGAGUUUUUGUUUGUGAUUGGAGUUUGGGUGUUUGGGUUUUGGUUAGUAGCGAGGUAACCAAAGUGAGGCUAUAAAGGAGGAGCUGUCUUCUUUAGAAUUGCGGCCAGAAGAAGAGCUUGAUGCACACAAUAUUGCUGCCAAGAUGGUUACCAGACUUGUAAAAGAAGAUCACCGGUGAUUGCACUGAAGGUGGCAUUCUCACUGCUUGAUAUGGGUACAUACGGGGGCAUGAAGGGAAAAGUAUAUGUAGCUCGUACAUUCAUGAGGUAUAAAAACUAAUUUAUUAUUUCUUUUUAUCAUAUAUAUUUGUUGAUGCUUCUCCCAUCAGCUUUGAUUAGAUACAGAACCUAACUAGAUGGGGAGGUGCACUACAAUUAUGUUGCGAUUCUCUAUAUUUGCUACCCAUCCAUAGUAGAAUAAGGGAUGCGUCUACGGAAAAUGGCUACUAAAAUUAGUGUAGGAGUUGAUGUUUGCAUGGUUAAUGAAAGAGGCUUCUAUUUCAACCCGGCGGAAGUUCAGAAACCUCUUUAUGCUAAUAGGACUAAUUUAAGUAUGAAUGGGUCACGUGCAAAAGUCUAUUAAACUACACUUAUGCAGAUGAAUAUAUAGAAUGCAGCUUUUAGUCACUUUAAAACGAGGAGGAUGGGAAUGCAGCUGCCCAACAUAGUGAUGAAUGAAGAUUUUUAGUCAAUUUUUAUUUUUACUUCUUCAUCUAUUCUUGCUUUUAGAUUGACUUUUGUAAGGAUGGUUUAUAAAUUGGUACAUUAGUCCGGUUUCCAUGUAUCUUUCAACUUGAUGACUCGGUUUGUACAUUGUAUUUUUUUUUUUGGUUAAUUUCAAGUCAAGAAAAUUUCAGAGUA